CCCUUAGAUGUCCGGGGCUGCACGCGCGCUACACUGAGUGUCUGAGAUACGAGUCUGCCUGGUCCGGCAAGGUCUAGGUAAUCGCUAAAAGACACAUCAUGCUUGGGAUAGAUUAUUGCAAAUAUUAAUCUUGAACGAGGAAUUCCUAGUAAGCGCAAGUCAACAGCUUGCGUUGAUUACGUCCCUGCCCUUUGUACACACCGCCCGUCGCUACUACUGAUUGGAUGUUUAAGCGAGGUUCUCGAACUGCUAGCGACUUAGCUUCGGUGAGGUCGCAGUGUGGGAAGUGAACCUAGCUUUGGUGUCUAGAGGAAGUAAAAGUCGUAACA
rnacentral:rRNA from 1 species